rnacentral:rRNA from 1 species
UACGUAGGGUGCGAGCGUUGUCCGGAAUUAUUGGUCGUAAAGAGCUCGUAGGUGGUUUGUCGCGUUGUUCGUGAAAACUCACAGCUCAACUGUGGGCGUGCGAGCGAUACGGGCAGACUGGAGUACUGCAGGGGAGACUGGAAUUCCUGGUGUAGCGGUGGAAUGCGCAGAUAUCAGGAGGAACACCGGUGGCGAAGGCGGGUCUCUGGGCAGUAACUGACGCUGAGGAGCGAAAGCGUGGGGAGCGAACAGG